AUAGACAGAGAAGGAUGUGUGUGAUAUUCCUCUCAGUUCUGGGAAAGUGACAGCUUUGCUUCCCGUGAUGCUGUCUAGAGUUCCUCACUUGCUCUGAAAUCACCCUGUCCCUGUCUGCUUAGCAUUUAGACUCGAUUGAUUCUUUUUGGGGAGAAGCGGGGGAGGCUUUUAGGGUCGUCCUUGGUGUUUCUUUCUUAAAUAUAAUUAGAUGCGCCUCAUUACCUCCACUGAAGGACUUUUGUGCUUUCUGAGCGGUGUCUCUAGAGAUCUUCGACGAGCCACAGCUUGUCCUAUUCUCUUUGCAUUUGAUCAUAUUAGCAGGUUUUUUUUUUUUCUUCCUCUUGACACAUUUGUACUCUGUGUUCGCUCUCCCUCAGAUAUCUGGAGUUGAUUUUGCUGGUUUGAAAGGCCACACCCAGGGAGCGUGUCUGGGGCCUCCUUGGGAUGAAGGGACUGUAUUCCGCAGGCCCUUCCCAGUUUCCCUGAACGUUUUCCCCCCUCUGGACACUUUGUUAACAAGGCUGUGCUCUAGUGUGCUCCAGGGUCAAGGCCUCUGGUUCUCUAUAAAACCCAGACGAACAACUAUAUCACAUGAACCUCAGAGGCAGUCCCCUGGGAGCAUGCUGUGGCUACUGUUCUGAGGCCAACCACCGAGGCCCAGACAACUCGCUAGGCACAUAGACACAGGUUUGGCUAAAGUCACAACGUGGCUCCGUACGUAUCCACUUGUGCCCAGAAAGGUGCUGUCUGGGAACUGGAGGCACAGGGCUGUUAGACAUCUGUGUGGAGAGGGAAACCAAAUUCUACACGCCCUUCACUUCUGUAAGAUUUGGGAAUGGUGUCGGGGUGGAAACCACUUAAAAUAACUGAAACAUCCAAUCCUUGUUUAUUUAUUUUGCUUCCUUCACUGGGCCUUGUUCUGAAAACAAACUAAUGCUCUGAGUUCCGGGAUACAACAAUUCUCAAGAGUGUGGGUGUCUUCCAGGCCUUCGACAGAGUUGAAGAUUGGCUUGAGGCUAGGGGACCUCUCUCCUCCAGCAUGCUUCCACCUUCGGGAAGAAUUGCGGUAGUGUGGUGGACGGACAACGUUGGGCCAGGCAUCAAGAAAUGUCUUCUCACUGAAGGGCUGGUCCCACCCUCCCCACAGUCAUCUAAUGUACCUCGAAGGCAGCGAUGUAAUAAUGAGAAACGGCACCGGUCCCCCCAUCUGAGCAAUCCUUUCACAGAGACAGCAGACAGGAAUCUGCAACUGAGUAGAGGAGACAUCCACAGACACUUCCAUGGGAAGCAGUACUAACCAGAACAUCAUGGGAGUCAUGUUGGCUGUUAAGUUAUGGAGGCACAAAAAAGAAGCCCUGCUCUGGAUAAGGGAUGCCUGGAGCAGCCUUAAGACAGCGCCUCACCAGCCUACUUCCCUGUGUGUACUGGAACAGUCUUCCAAAUGAGUAGAACGUCAGGUGGAAUCUGUGGACGGAUAGCUUCUGCCAAUUGCUUCUGGCACUAAACUCUAACAUUCCUAGUCUGAGUGGAAUUUAUCUUCUCUUUUCCCAUGCCCUCUUCUCAAACACUUGUUGGCCAUUUUCUAGUUCAGAUCAAGUGUGACAACCAAUGUUAAAAAUUUAUUUAUCUAUUACAUGAUCCCCCAAUCCUUCUCUUCUGAGGCAUUGUUCUCUUGAUAUACUUCUAAACUUGUCAUGUUCAUCUCAAAUGUAAUACUGAAAGUUUAAUAUAAUGUUCUCUAU